CCUACGGGAGGCAGCAGUGAGGAAUAUUGGUCAAUGGGAGAGAUCCUGAACCAGCCAAGCCGCGUGAGGGAAGACGGUCCUAUGGGUUGUAAACUUCUUUUGUCGGAGAACAAAAUCAGGGACGUGUCCCUGACCGCGUGUACUUGAAGAAAAAGCAUCGGCUAACUCCGUGCCAGCAGCCGCGGUAAUACGGAGGAUGCGAGCGUUAUCCGGAUUUAUUGGGUUUAAAGGGUGCGUAGGCGGUCCGUUAAGUCAGCGGUAAAAGUGCGGGGCUCAACCCCGUCGAGCCGUUGAAACUGGCAGACUUGAGUUGGCGAGAGGUACGCGGAAUGCGCGGUGUAGCGGUGAAAUGCAUAGAUAUCGCGCAGAACUCCGAUUGCGAAGGCAGCGUACCGGCGCCGGUCUGACGCUGAGGCACGAAAGCGUGGGGAUCGAACAGGAUUAGAUACCCGAGUAGUC
rnacentral:rRNA from 1 species